rnacentral:lncRNA from 1 species
CGGAGCAAGGGAAGCAAGUAUUAUUGCUGAUGAUUGGUCGAAGUAGCCCGAGUCAGGAAAAUGGCUGCGAGUACCUCUGUAGUCCCGGUGGCGGUGACGGCGACGGCGACGGUGAUGCCCGGCCUAUCCACUAACGCAGAUUUCUCAGAUUUGCGGGAAAUUAAAAAGCAGCUGCUGCUCAUUGCGGGCCUUACUCGAGAGCGGGGCCUGCUGCACAGUAGCAAAUGGUGAGAUGUCGGGGUCGGAGGGGACCAAGCUUGGAUCCUUGGCCUUGGGGGCUUCUCAAGCUGAUCCAGUUUGUGUGCGUGUUCCAGGUCCGCGGAGUUGGCCUUCUCCCUCCCCGCGUUGCCUUUGGCCGAGCUGCAGCCGCCGCCGCCUAUUACAGAGGUAAGAGCAUUUUCACAGUGAGCGAUCCUCGCCAAAGCAAUGUGCUUGAAGAGGCACAUUGAAUGCCCUGUCCCUGGAGAGGAGCUAACCGUUUAGCAGCAGUGUUUGCUAGAGGGAAUACAAGCGUUUAAAGAGCUGGGUGGUAUAAGUGGUUUUUAUCCGUGGUGUUUUCUUGUUUCGUUUGGUUUUGGUUUUGAUGGUGCUCUUACUUUAAGCCAGAGAGACCACGUACACAAUCAUUGCUUAAGAUUUCAGCUUUUGGGGUUUUGUGGCCCAACCUAGAAAAUACUCAAAGAUGAGAAAAAGCAAAAGUUUUCGCAACAGCUUGGGACUAUUCUUGCUCUAUUGUUUGAUCCGCAUUGCAAAAUGUGUGUGGGCUCUGGGUUCAAAUCUAAAACUAAUGACUUUUGGCAAUUUAUUUAACCUCCUGAGCCCAGUUCUUUUAUCUGAAAAUGAGAAUAAUAAUGACCACUUUGGGAGGGGACAAUUUAGGGAAUUAGAUAAUAUCAGGUAUUCUCAACAUUCCCAUUCAUAAGAGAGAGGUGGCUUGGUAGGGUAAAUAUUUUGCAUCUAUAUUCCAGUCAUGUUCUUUGCUCCUAUCAUCAUUGUGGGCAAGUAAAUGCUAAGUGACAGCCUUCCAUCUAUAGAUAAUAUUAACAAUAGUUGGGUUUUCAAGAUUAAUUAAGACAAUAGAGGUACAAUUUUUAUUUUUAUUUUUUAGAAUUAAAGGUAAAACUCACUCUUGUAUGAUUGUUUUGAGUCCGUGUGAUUUAUAUCUCUUAUUAGCUUUUACUUCCCUGUGACUAUUGUCACAGUGCCUAGGCACAUUGAUGGUCCUGAAUAGAAUAAAAAUUGCUGAAUGAGUAAUAAAGCACAAUGCCAGGUGAAACAUAGAGCCUCAGAAAAUAGUCCUUGCUCCUAACAGUUCAUAUAACACAGGAAUUUUAUAGACAUUUCAGAAACCUAACCAUUAUUGAAUUAUUAGAAAGUAAUAGCUAUUGGUGCUGGGUAUUGCAUGCCUGUAAUCCCAGAGGCUGGGGAGGCUGAGGCAGGAGGAUCACAAGUUCCAGGCCAGCUUCUGCAUUUUAGUGAGGCCCUUCUCAAAAUAAAAGGGUUGGAGCUGUGACUUAGAGGUAAAGUUCAGUCUCCAGAAGCAGGAGUAAGGGUGUGGGGGGUGAUAUUAGCUAUUGGUUAGUUUCAGCUUUCUUUGAGUAUAUUGAUUUAGCAGCUUCUUUUUUAAAUUGUUGGGCAUUUAGUGUUCUCUGGGGAGUGUCCCUAAAAAAUGCCAGAGAAACAUAUUAAUCUCAUUUAGCCUUGAUCCAAAAUUUAAACUAGAGUAAACCUUAAAACAUUGGUCUUCAAAGAAUUACUGAAAUUGAAGAUUCUUUUGCUGUGUUCAAAUCUGUGUAGUAGCCAUCUGUUAUAUAAACAUUCUGCCAGGUAUGAUGGUGCACCCUGUAAUUGCAGCAGCUCAGGAGGCUAAGGCAGGAGGAUCGAAAAUUUGAGGCCAGCCUUUGAGACCCUGUCUCAAAAUUAAAAAAUGAAGAGGGCUGGGAUGUGCCCUUGGGUUCAAUCCCUGGUACUAAAAACAAAACAAAACAAAACAAAAUGAUGUGAUUGGUACUAACUGUGGCUACUUAAAAACUCAGCUUUAAUGCUAAAUACGUCUGAAUCACAUAGUGUGUAACCUUCAUUAGAACAUUCUAGGUUCUCAUAAGCAAGAAUGAAAAUAUAAAGCUAUAUAGUUCAAAUAGUAAAACUUUGUGGACUUUGGAUUUUUUGUUGUUGUUGUUUGUUUGUUUUUUGUUUUUUUUUCGGUUCUAGGGAAUGAAUCCAGGGGCACUUUACCACAGAGCUAUAUUCCCAUUCCUUUUUAAAUUUUUUAAAAAUUUGAAACAGGGUCUUGUUAAGUUCCUGAGGGUCUAGCUAAGUUGCUGAGACUGGCCUUAAACUGCUUCUGCCUCCUGAGUUGCUGGGAUUACAGGUGUGUGCUACCAGCCCUGGCAAAAUAGUAAAACUUUCCGAGUUAUAAAUGUGUGUGAAGAGUUAUAAAUGUUUUGUGUAUGAUCUAUAAUAUGUAUGUAUGCACAGUGUUGUGUAAUUGGAAUGAUUUUUAUCAUAAUCCAUUUUUCCCUGAAUAUGCCAGUUGAUUUUUUUCCCACAACUAUAAAACAGUGACUAUUUCUCAUUUGGCAAGGUGUAAUGCACCAGUACUGCAAAAACAGAGAGAGACAGGUGCAUAAUGAAGGGAGGGGUUCAGUGGAAAAGAAAUAAGCAGCUGGUGAGUAGAAUGUGAAAGGGACCUUCAGAAUCCUAAGAUGAAUGGCAAUAUUUAGGACAUGUUGAUCCAGUGAAGAAAAUGCUAAAUAUGUUGUGAUUCUACUUCUGUACUGGUGAUAUUUGGGUCAAGAUGGAUAAGAAGAAAUGAAGUUUUUCAUGUUUUAGUUAACUCAUUCCUAGAAUUUGGGUGAUCAUACGUUUUUCUUUUUUUGUUACCUGGGAUUAAACCCAGGGGCAUUUAAGCACUGAGCACCCCAGCCCUUUUAAAUUUUUUUAUUUUGAGACAGGGUCUCACUAAAUUGCUUAGGGCCUUGCUAAAUUAUUGAGGCUGGCUUUGAACUUUUCAUUCUCCUGCCUCAGCCUCCUGAACCACUGGGAUUACAGGUGUGCACCUCUCUACCCAGUAUGUUUGUAACUAUGUUUUUAACUUAAAUGUGUUAUGAAUUAUAACUGUAUUUUAUUUUUUUUAAAUAAUUUUUUUAGUUGUGGGUGGACACGAUAUCUUUAUUUAUUCAUUCAUUUAUUUAUUUUUAUGUGGUGCUAAGGAUCGAACCCAGUGUCUCACACAUUCGAGGUAAACGCUCAACCCCUGAGCUACAACCCCAGCCCCUAUAACUGUAUUUUAUGUUGUCAACAAUGCUAACAUAUGAUAAGACUUUGUUGAAAUACAGAAAAUAUAAGUGAUCACACAUGAUAUACUUAUGUAGGAAUUUUAAAAAGAUGAGAAGGAAGAGAAUGCCACAUAUGAAUGCUGGACAUUUUAAGUGACUUUUUCACAUUUUCCUCAUAUCAAAUCUGUAAGGUCAAUAUUACUUAUUCUACUUUACAGAAGAAACAGAUGUUCAACUAGGUGUGGUGGCACACUCCUAUAAUCCCAGUGAUUAGGAGGCUAGGGCAGGAAAAUUCAGGUUUGAAAGCAGACUGGGCCACUUAGUGAGACCCUAUCUAAAAAUAAAAAAUAAAAUGAACUGUUGAGACCCUGAGUUGAUUUUUAAAUUUAUAGCUCAAUGCUGAAGUGCCCUUGGGUUCAGUUCCCCUCCAACCUCCCCCAAAACUUGCCAAAAAAAUAAAAAAGAAAGAAAAGAAAAAGGAAAAAUGCAUGCUCAUGAAACAGAGACCAAGAAUCAGAAAAUGAAUUCAGGUCCUGAACACAAAACCAUUUGCAACUUCCUAAUGACAUUUGAAGAAACAAUAUAAGUUUCUGAGUAUAUUGAUUUAGUGGUUUGUUUUGUUUUUUUUUUUUUUUUUUGGUACUGAGGAUUGAUCUCAGGGACACUUUACUACUGAGAUACACCCCCAGUCCUUUUUAUUUUUUUUAUUUUGGGUCAGAGUGUCUCUAAAUUGCUGAGGCUGACCUUGAAUUUGAAGUAUUCUUAUCUCAGCUACCCAAGUUGCUGGGAUUAUAGGCAUUGGCACUGCACCCAGCUAUGUGUGUUGGUUUAAUUUUUAAAAUUUUUGUCUUUUGCCAGGUUUUGUGAUGCAUACCUAUAAUCCUAGCUACAUGGGGCUAAGGCAGUAGGAUUGUAGAUUCAAGACCAGCCUGGGAAAAGUUAGUGAGACCGUGUCUCAAAGUAAAAUAAAAGGAAUGGGGUUGUAGCUCAGUGGUAGAGUGCUUGUCUAGCAUUUGUGAGGCCCUGGGUUUUAUUCUCAGCACCACAUAUAAAAAAUAAAUAAAUAAAUAAAUAAAACGAAGGUUUAUCAACAACAACAACAACAACAACAUAAUAUUACAUUUAAAAUAAAAUGAAAGACUUGGUAUGUAGCCCUAAGGUUCACUGCCCAGAAAACAAAAAACAAAAAGAAAAAAGAAUAAAAAGGGCUGGGGAUGUAGCUCUGUGGUAGAGUACCCCUACAUUCAAUACCUAGUUAUUUAAAAAAAAAUAUAUGUGUGUGUGUGUGUGUUUGUGUGUGUGUGUCUUUGUCUUUUGCACCACCUUUUUAUUUGAAAAGUAUUUUGGAAAGAAGUAGUUCUUUCCAAAGAAAGAACUUGCCUGGUAGUACAUAUAUAAAAAUGCUGCAUGUAUACAUCUACAUAUGUGUUAGCUUUCUGGAAAUAGAAAAAAAAAAAUCACUUUUCUUAUAUCUUGAAAUUACUGAAUAUGUUUCUUAUGUUUGAACUUUUGUUGUCCUAUUUUCAGUUAUUUACAUGGACUUGUCUCUUUUCUAGGAGGAUGCCCAGGAUAUGGAUGCUUAUACCCUGGCCAAGGCCUACUUUGAUGUUAAAGAAUAUGACCGGGCAGCACAUUUCCUACAUGGCUGUAAUAGCAAGAAAGCCUAUUUCCUAUAUAUGUACUCCAGAUAUUUGGUGAGGGCAAUUUUAAGGUGUUACUUUGCUUUCAGUGAAGCAUUCAUAUUUAGAAUUAAAUAGAAAAAUCCCAGCCUGAGUUGAUUUUAACAGUGGGGGAUGGUGGUGCAUGCCUAUAAUCUUAGUGACUUGAGAGGCUUAGUCAGGAAGAUACAAGUUUGAGGCCAGCUUUGGCAACUUUGUGAGACCUUGUCUCAAAAUUAAAGGGCUGGAGAUGUAGCUCAGUGCUUACGUAAAGUGCCUCUGGGUUUAAUUCCCAGUACCAAUAAAUAAACUAUUCAGUUUUCACUUUUAUUUGUAGUACAUUUGUUGUUUUGUUGCAUGGCUGUUAAAUUGUAAAUGUAAAGGGCAAUACAAGUAUUUAAUUCUGGAAUAUUAUGAAUGUAUUUUCCUACUUUUUUUUUUUUUUUUUUUAGUUAUUUUAUGUGUGAACAGAUCUUUUAAAAUAUUUUAUAAGGCUGGGGGUAGCUCAGUGGUAGAGUGCUUGCUUAUAAUGUAUUUAUUCAUUUAUUUAUUUAUUUUUAUGUGGUGCUGAGGAUUGGGUUUGAUCCCCAACAUUGCAAAAAAAAAAUUAUAUACAUUUACAAGUGUAAGCAUUUAUAAUGUAAUGUAAUCCUUACAUUAUAGGUGUAAGGAUUGAAUUUAGGGAUGCUUAACCACUGAGCUACAUCCCCUGCUCUUUAAGAAAAAAAAAUUUUUUUUUUAAGUAUUUAUUUUUUAGUUGUAGUUAGACACAAUACCUUUAUUUCACUUAUUUGUUUUUAUGUGGUGCUGAUAAUUGAACCCAGGGUCUCACAUGUGUGAGGCGAGCACUCUACAGGAUCUUGAUAAGUUGUCCAGACUGGCCUCCAAUUGCAAUCCUCCUGCCUUAGCCUCCCAAGUAGCUGGGUUUAUAAGCUUGUAAUACUAAGCCUGGCUGGAUUCCUAUAUUUUUAAUUAUUUAUAAUUAUUUACUGUACUUACUUAACUACUUUGGUACUCAAAUUAUCCCACAUUUAGGCAGUGGGAGCCCCCAAAUGAUUGUUUGAAAUUAAUGACCAAAAGCAGAUGCCAUUUUUGUUGGACUUGAACUCUUGGGUAGUUUUAAAACAUGUUUCAGAAUAAAUUGAAAAAAAACCUACCUACUUGUUGAAUUUCUUUUACAGUCUGGAGAGAAAAAGAAGGAUGAUGAAACUGUUGAUAGCCUAGGUAUGAAUUUUUUUUCUCUUAUCUCUUGGAUUAAAAAGUAGCUUUGUAAAUUUAAGUGCCUGUUGGAGCCAGUCAGGUAAUAUAACUGGACUGAGAUGCAUUGUUGCAAAUUUCAGAGCACAUGGCUUAUCUCAUGUACCCUGUUGGCACCCAGCUUCAGCUGAGGGCUGCCUUGUGGCACUCUGGGCCUGAUGUUAUUAGGGCCUUCUUCCUUUGGCCCUUCUCUGUUUCCUGAAGCUAAAAACUCAGAUUUUUAAUUGAGGCUUCUGAUUUUUAGACAAUGAUAACUAAUUCAAAUUUAAAAACCCAACAACUAUUUGGGUGUAGGACUGCAGACCCAUUAUUAGUUGCAAUUUCUAGAAUAAAGUAAAUGGAUCGUAUAAGAUAUCAAUGGACACUUAUGAGUAUUUGCUGGAGGUUUCAAGUAUAACCUUCAGUUGAAACUAAAGGGAAUAUAUACAUCUAUGAAAAUGAAAGCCAGCAUCCUUCUCUUAGAUCAGAGACUUUGUUUCUUUCCUAGGCCCCCUGGAGAAAGGACAAGUGAAAAAUGAGGCUCUUAGAGAAUUGAGGGUAGAGCUCAGCAAAAAGCAUCAAGCUCGGGAACUUGAUGGAUUUGGCCUUUAUCUGUAAGUGGUUUUUAUAGUAAUUUGGAACUUUCUAUAUCUUUUUUUGUGUGUGGGUGAGUGUGGUACAGGGAAUUAAACACAGGGCCUCGCAUAUGCUAGGCAAGUGCUCUACCACUGAGUUACAUCCUUGGCUAUCUUUUUUAUUUUGGGACAAGGUCUAACUAGGUUCCCAAGGCUAUCCUCCAACUUGUGAUCCUUCUGCUUUAGCCUCCUCAGUAGCUGGAAUUAUAGACUUAUGCCAGUGUACCCAGUUUCUAUAAUAUAUUCUUGAGUAGAGGGGAGAUAUUAUAAAGCAUUAACUUCUCCUGUGAUUAUUUCCUUCUUUCCCAGGUAUGGUGUGGUGCUUCGAAAACUGGACUUGGUAAAAGAGGCCAUUGAUGUGUUUGUGGAGGCUACUCAUGUUUUGCCUUUGCAUUGGGGAGCCUGGUUAGAACUCUGUAACCUGAUCACAGACAAAGAAAUGGUAAAUUGAGAUGAUCCUCGUGAAGAUCCCUCUGCUUCCAAUGUAAUUGGGGGGUGGUGAAGUUUUGCCCAUAUGACCUCUUUAGCUAGCUCUUUGCUGUGUCUUUAGUCCCUGUCAUAAUUUCAGAAUUUAGAUCUUCAUUGGAUGAUAACUAGAUCUUGCUCAGUAGCUGCUGUUGGAUUCGAAUCCAUUGAUAUUGGAAUGUUUUUUGUAUUCAUGUUUUGACAUUCAAGUUUUCCUAUAACUUGUUUUAUGGAAUAAGUGUUAUAGUUUCUCCUCUAAUUCUAGUGAUACUAUAGGAAAGAUUUCUCUGAUAUCAAGGAUUAUACUAAAACAUAUUUUCAGGCCUCUUUUGAGAUAUCAUGGAUUCUGUAAAUAUUUAGAGAUUUAUUAGUGAAAUAAUGUAUAUGAAACUGCUUUAUUAACUGCAAUUGCUUUAUUAGUCACUGUUAGAAGACUUUGUCUAUGAUGUUCAUUCUGCUAUUCUUCAGUGGCUAAUAGAAGCAACAACACAAUUCCUUUUGUUGGCUUUAAAGAGCCAAAGUAAUGAUUUAUGCUAAAAAUCUGUGUCUGAGAUCUGACCUUUGUUUACUUAUAUUCACCUAUCUCUAACUACCUCCUAGAUUUCCACUGAAAGUUUUACCUCUGAACUCAAAAUAUGCAAAACCAAAUUUUUCAUCUUGCUUACCAAAUUCUUCUUGCUAUCUUGAUAUCUCACUACUUUUGCUAUUUCUCAAGACACUCACAUCUUGACACCUCAGAGUCAUAUUUAUUUGUCUUUCCCUUUCUCUUAUUUUCCUUAAUCUAGUCAAUCAUGAGACAGUGCCAUGAUUGCUUUCUUGUGUACAUCUCUUUGUCUUGGUUCUCUUUGUCAUCUCUGUUAUUUCAAAUUUGAAUUACUUAUAAGUAAUAGAUACUUUCUCUCUAGCUUUCCCAUUUUACACUUAACAUUUCAAAGUCAUCCUACAUAUUGUUUCAAAAUUUAUUCUUGGCAUGAAUGACACAUCAUCAUGUCAUUCUCUUGGCAGAAAUAUAUAGUAGUUUCCUGUUGUACCCCAUUAUCUGUUGCAUGGUAGGAUCUACCCUACCAGCCUAAUCUUAUUUUUCCUCUUUUUCUGGAUAUAGCUUCCUCAAACCAAGCUAGUUUCCUCAUCCUAUUCACACACAUCAUAUCUGUUUUGGCCCUACUUAGGUUGUUGCCCUUGCCUUGAAUGUUAUCUUCUUAAUUUUCCUUCCCCUUUUCUCUAUUUAAACCCUACCCAUUCUCUAAGACUCACCUUUUCUUUAAAGCCUAUUCUCAGUAGAUCAUUCUUCCCUAAUUGUGCUUAUAAGCCAUAUUCACUUAGUUGGAUUACCCUGUACUCAUUAUUAGGUGCUUUAAUAAAAUUUUAGUGGUAAAUCCCUUUAGACAAUAAAGAUCGUUCCUUGAUUUUCAUUUGGGAGAGAGGUCAAAUUUUAUUAAGUGUGUCCCUCUCUCUCCUGCUGCCAGCUGAAGUUCCUGUCUUUGCCAGACACCUGGAUGAAAGAGUUUUUUCUGGCUCAUAUAUACACAGAGUUGCAGUUGAUAGAGGAGGCCCUGCAAAAGUAUCAGAAUCUCAUUGAUGUGGGCUUUUCUAAAAGCUCAUAUAUUGUUUCCCAAAUUGCAGUUGCCUAUCACAAUAUCAGAGGUGAGUGAAUAAGGACAAUGAAAUACCCUCAGACCCUGAUAGGUGCACUGUGUUGUUUUCUGAACUUGCUAUGUUCUUUCUGCAGAUAUUGACAAAGCCCUUUCCAUUUUCAAUGAGCUAAGGAAACAAGACCCUUACAGGAUUGAAAAUAUGGACACAUUCUCCAACCUUCUUUAUGUCAGAGUAAGCUGCUUCUUUUGCUUGGGUUUGAUUAAGCUCUUUUGUAUUUUAGUCUCUUGGAUUGGAUUGUUACCUGUUUGUGUUAGCUAUAAGAGAAAUUAUUUAGAGAACCCUUUUCCAUUACUUAGAUUUUUUUUUUUCUUUUUUCUCCCCAGAGCAUGAAAUCUGAGUUGAGUUAUCUGGCUCAUAACCUCUGUGAAAUUGACAAAUACCGUGUAGAAACGUGCUGUGUAAUUGGUAAGAGUUAACUACAUUUUUUUCUUUUAAGACUUAUUUUUGUUAUAAAUAUCAUGAAUGUAAAAAUAACAGCAGUAUUAAAAGUGUCAAAGAUGAGAAAAUUAUGUACCAGAGAAUAUGAAAGCUUACUGUUAUCCCACCCUAAGGUUGUUUGGUGAACGUGACUCCAGAAUGUUUUUUGUGUGAAUACCAAAAAUAUGUAUUUGUUUAUAGUGUGUAAAAACUAAUCAUUAUAUAUACUAUACUAUAUACUGUAUCGGUAUUAGCCUGUCUUAUAUCCACUAGGUAUUGUGUAAUAAGUUUUGUGUAAUAACCUAUUUUUGUGUAAAUACUGCUUUGUAGCUUUUUUUUUAAAUGAUAAAUGUUUGUCAUCUUUCCAUAUUAGUACAUUUUGAUUUGUUUUACUUUUGAUGAUAGUACCUUGUUUUUGGUGUUGGGGAUUGGAUCCAGGGCCUUCCACAAGCUAAGCAUGCACCCUAUCACCAAGCUAUGCCAUCAGCCCUCAGCAUCUUAUUAUCUAUCUAUUUCUUUCUUUCUUUUUAAAUAUUUAUUUAUUUGUAGUUGAACACAAUAACCUUUAUUUAUUUAUUUAUUUUAUGUGAUGCUGAGGAUCGAACCCAGGGCCUUGCACAUGCAAGGCAAGCGCUCUACCGCAUAACCCCAGCUCCUUAUUAUCUAUUUCUAUUAAAUAUUUCUGCUUAAUAAUUUUGUUUAUUGAUUUAUUUUUUUGUGGGUGGUGCUGGGACUCGAACCCAGGAGUACUCUACCACUAAGCUACAUCCCCAGCCCUUUUUAUUUAUUUGUUUAUUCGUCUGUUUAUUUAUUUAUUUUUAAAAUAUUUUUUUAGAUGUUGAUGGACCUUUAUUUUAUUCAUUAAUGUAUAUGUGGUGCUGAGGAUCGAACCCAGUGCCUCACACAUGCUAGGCAAGCGCUCUACCACUGAGCCACAACCCCAUCUUUUUAUUUUAUUUUUUUGGUACUGGGGAUUGAGCUUAGAGGUACUUUACCACUGAGCUACAUCCCUAGUCCUUUUUAUUUUUUGUUUUUGAGAUAGGAUCUCUCUUAAGUUGUUGAGGGUCUUGCUAAGUUGCUGAGGCUGGCCUUGAAUUUGUAAUCUCCUGCCCUCAGCCUCUGUAGUUGCUGCGAUUACAGGCAUGUACCACCAUACCAGGCUUUAUUUAGUAAUUUUUUAUAAUAUAAGUUGUGACUAGUCUUUGUUAAUAUAAAUAAAAAUUGCUUUAAGAAACAUCUUUAUGCAUAUACAUUUGUUUUUGGAUGCUUGAAUCUAUUUUUGUGUAAUAAGUUCCUAAUCGUAAAAGCCUAGAUCAAGGGUGUGUGUGUUUGUUUUAUACUUUAAUAUGACUAAAAAGUGUGUUAGAAUUUCCAGUCCUAUGAAAAGAGAUGAGCGUGUCUGUUUUCCUGUACCUGACCAUCUCUUCUCUACGGUAUUGAUGAUUUGGGCUGGAUAGCUUUUUUUGUUGCAGGCUGUCCUGUGCAUCAUCGGUAUUAGCAUAGCCUUGUCUUAUACCCACUAGGUACUGGUAACUUCCUUUCCCCAGUAGUUAUAAGUAAAAACAUUUCUAGAUGUUGCCAAACACCCUCUUGAGGGUUGAGAACCAUAACCUUAUAUAGGCCAUGCUAUGUGGCCUGGUAAUCAGUGGAUAUAGACAAGUGAAUGACUACUCCUGGAGAAAGUAAGCAUGGUGGGUUUUGAUUGAAAGACUCUGUUUUCUGAAGAUGAAAGGAAUACCUGUUCCUGGGUCUUUGGUCACAUUAUAUCAAGAUCAUACAUUUGUACCUUUCUAGGUCAGGAUGUUAUUAAUAAACUAAUGGAAUUUCAGUUCAUCAUUUGAUUAAAUACUUUUAGCUCUUGAAGUUAUGGUCUAUAAAGCAAAGUAAAUAUUAACAAAAAUAUAGUAAGUCCUUUGGGAACACAAAUAGGCAAAGAACAAAUGGUCUUUUCAAUAUCAGAGUACUUUGAAUGAACUAUAAUGUACAUUAGGUAAGGGUGGAACUCCAGUUUAUUUAGAAAUGUCUCUUGAGUAUCUUCUGUGUGCCAAGUCACUAUGCUUUGUAUUGCAGUACCUACCCUAACUGCCUACUGAAGAAGACUAAUAAGAAAACAACUAUCAGCAGGUUGAAUGUUAUAAUUGAAGUGAACACAGCAUGCUAAGGGAGUACACAGGAAAGGUAUCUAAUACAGUCUGAGAUUAGGGAAGGCUCAUUAGAGGUGAUACUUGAAUGAUGGGCAGGAACAAAAGAAUUCAAGAAGAGAGGAGAAGGGUUGACUCAGGAAGAGUAUCAUUUGACCAGAGGUAACAGACAUUGUAUCUGAAAAUAGUUCAUUGUGCCUGGGCAUUUUGUGAGAGGUAGGAAUGAACAAAUUUCAGGUAGCCUUUUGUACCCAAUAGGUGUCUUCUGGAGGAUUUAACUAGAGAGUGAUGAAAGUGGUCAGAUUUUUAUUUUGGAAUAACAACCAGAAACAAUUGUGCUGGGAGGAUUAGAAAAAGGGCAAGAGUAGAGGUAGAGAGACCAGCUAGGAGACUCUUGCUGUAAUCUUGUGUAGAGAUGAUGAGAGCCUAAGCUGACACAUUGGCAGGAUGAGUGGAGAGGCUAUUGGACUUAGAAGAUAUUUAGGAAGUAGAAUGAACAGGAAUUGGUGAUUGGUUAACCAGAUUGAUUAUAGUGACUUUUACAUGAUGAAAGGAAAUAGAGGUAGAGGAGAUAAUGAAUGAUUCCUUUUUUUUUUUAACCUAUUGACUUGAAACCAUUUGAAAUCAAAGGAGAACCCUAAUAUAGUUCUAGAGAUAAUUGCAAUUGGUAUUUUCAGUAUGUCCUUCCAGACUUUUUACAUGUAUAUAUGAAUGUAUGUGUGAUUUUGUAUAUGAGAUUUAAUCAUCCUAGGUUUAUCAAAUAUUAAUAUUUUGCCAUAUUAAAAGACCUUUUUUAAAUAUUUAUUUUUUAGUUAUAGUUGGACACAAUAUCUUUACUUAAUUUAUUUAUAUGUGGUACUGAGGAUCGAACCCAGGGCCUUGCACGUGCUAGGUGAGUGCUCUACCACUGAGCCACAACCCCAGCCCCUAUAAAAGACCUUUUAAGAAAAAAAAGGGGUGGAGGAGAUAUGCCUAAGAAGAAUAAUGAUUAAGGAGUUUCUUGAGUUUUUUUGCUUUUGUUUUAUUUAUUUAUUUAUUUAUUUAUUUAUUUAUUUAUUUAUUUAUUUAUUUAUUUAUUUAUUUUGUAGUUGUAGAUGGACAGAAUGCCUUUAUUUUAUUUGUUUUUAUUUUUAUGUGGUGCUGAGGAUCAAAUGCAGUGCCUCACACAUGUUAGGCAAGCGCUCCACUGCUGAGCCCCAACCCCAGCCCAUGCUUUUGUUUUAUUUUUAAUCAUUCAAUGAAAUGUUCUUUUUUCCCUCAGUAUAUCCAUAAUGCCCAGCAAAAUUACUGAUAUAUAGUUAAUAAAUGUUUGUGGAAUUCAGCCCACCUACCUUAAAAAUUUAAGAAUAAGGAACAUUAGGUAUAACAAAAAAUGAACUUCAUUUUUCAUAUUAUAGCCAGUGCAGAGAAAGUGGAAAGGAGAAAGAAGGAUGGAGAGGAAAAAAGGAAACUGAGGACCUGAGAGAAUGAAACAAUCUGAGAGGAGAGUGAUGGCAAGAAUUUCCUACUGGUUUAGUCCUUGCUUCUGCUUCUACGUCUUGACAUGAAUUGUUUCCUUCUGCACUUGUUUAGGAGUCCCAGUCACUUUCUCUAAGAGCCAGCAUUAUAUGUAUAUCUUGGCAUAAUUAAGAUUUGGACUCUAGACCCAGACUGCUCAAGUUUAUUUAUUUUAUUUUUUGUGGUGCUGAAAAUUGAAUGCAGGGCCUUGCACUUGCUAGGUAAGCAAUGUAUUACUGAGCUACAUCCCAGCCCAGACUAUGCAAGUUUAAAUCUGGAUUCCGAUACUUUUUCCCCCCCUGUACUAGGGAUUGAACUCAUGGGGCACUCUGCCACUAAGCCACAUCCCCAGCCUCCCCUGCCCCUGCCUUUUUUUUUAAAACAUUUAUUCUUUAGUUUUAGGUGGACACAAUACCUUUAUUUAGUUUUUAUGUGGUGCUGAGGAUCGAACCCAGUGCCUCACGCAUGCUAGGCGAGCGCUUUUCGUCUGAGCCAACCCCAGCCCUCCCCAGCCCUUUUUGAGUUUUUAUUUUGAGAGAUGAUCUCACUAAGUUGCCCAGGCUGGCUUUGAAUUUGUGAUCCUCCUACCUCAGCCUCCUGAGUGACUGUGAUACAGGCAGGGGCCACUGUACCUCACUAGGUUCUGAUACUAAGUAGCUGACUUUGGAUAGAGUUCUGUGCUUUAGUAUUUUCAUCUAUAAGGAGAGAAUAAUAAAUAAAACCUUCUUUCAUGUAGUUGUAAAGAUUUAAAAAAUAAAUACAUAUCCAAAACUUACAAUACUGUAAAUUACCAGAAAAAUUAUAAUCAUUCAGUACAUUUUAGCUCUUACAUCUACUUAAUCCUUAUGCAGAACUUGCUAGUUCUGUCUUCCCUAAUAUCUCCUUUGUUAUCCUGACUUCUUUAACUACUGAGUCUCAUACUUUUGCUAUCACUAUCCUACCUCUUCUUUAUUACAAAAGUUCACCUUUGGGCACUCUGCCUAGAUCUGCUUACGCUUCCAUUUCUGAAUCUGAGUCAGUGGCAGAAGCAAAGAUAUCCUUGUGUAGGACAUAAAGUCCUCCAUCCCGCUUUUUUCUAGAUGAACAUGAAAUUGAGUUUAAACUUAAAUAACCAGAUACAGAGUACAGAUAAUUUAUAUAAUUGAUUUCUCCUUAAUCAAACUAAAAGGCUUGAGUCUAGACAGAUUUAAAAGACAUAUAUGGAAGACUUGGGGAUUUUUUUGGUUAGUUUAUCAAAAUGGAAUCACAUUAUGUAAUUACUCCAUAAUUUCUUUUUUUUACUUGAUAGUUUAUUAUGUUUCUUGUAAGUGUAUGUAUGUGUAAAUGUGUGUGUGUGUAUGUAUCUGAAUCUAUUUUUGAAUCUAAUGCACAUGCAAUUAAUACAAUAUACAAAGGACUUUUUUAAAAAAAUUUUUAAGUUCUGGUUGGACACAGUACUUUCAUUUUAUUUAUUUGUUUUUAUGUGGUGCUGAGGAUCGAACCCACGGCGCCUCACAUGUGCUAAGCGAACAUUCUGCAGCUGAGCCACAACUCCAGCCCAUAAAGGACAUUCUUUUAAGUACAGGUUUUUUUUUUUUUUUUUUUUUUGCUUGUUGCAUUCUUUACCCUUUAAGUUAUUGUAUUAACAUGUUCACAUUAGAAUAUAUACAUAUAUGCAGGGUAUAAUGGGCUACUUGCUUAACAAAAGUAGGAUCAAAUUUUAUACUAAUGUUCUGCAUUUUACUUUUCUCAUUAGAUACCUCAUGAAAAUUCCUCCAAGUCUUGGUAUAGCUCUAAUUUAUUCCUUUAAAAAAAUAAUUUUAUUGGGGCUGGGGGUGUGGCUCAAGUGGUAGCGCGCUCGUGUGGCAUGUGCAGGGCACUGGGUUUGAUCCUUAGCACCACAUAAAAAUAAAAAAUAAAAGAUGUUGUGUCCACCGAAAACUAAAAAAUAAAUAUUAAAAAAUUCUCUCUCUCUCUCUCUCUUAAAAAAAAAAUAGCUUUAUUGGGCUGAGAUUGUGGCUCAGUGGUAGGGCACUCGCCUAGCAUGUGUGGGGCCCUGGGUUCGAUCCUCAGCACCACAUAACAAUAAAUAAAUAAAAUAAAGAUAUUGUGUCCAACUACAACUAAAAGAUAUAAAAAAAAAGCUUUAUUGAGGUAUAAUUUACAUAGCAUAAAAUUUACCUAUUUUAAGUUUACAGUUAAAUGAGUUAUAAAUUUACAGUUUGGAAUCAUCAUCAUCAUAAUCCAGUUUAUAAUAUUCCAUCAUCUCCAAAAGUUAUUUUGUCUGUAGUUGGUCCCAUUCCCAUCUGCUGGCAACCAUUUCUAUUUUCCAGGUUUAUAGUUUUGCCUAUUCUAGGAAUUUGAUAUAAAUGAAAUUUUGCAGUAGUAUUAUUGUCUGACUUUUCUCAGUUAGCAUGUUUUUGAAGUUUAUUGAUGUUGUUGCAGAUAUCGGUAGUUCUUUUUAUUCCUGAGUAAUAUUCCAUUGUUUGGAUAUACCACUGUUGUUUAUCUAUUUGCCACUGAUAUAAGAUGAAUGGCUUUUAGGUUCUUAAAAUAAAAUCUUUCCCAGAAUACUAAAGUCUUUUGCUUGCUCUUUUUGGAACAAGUGAUUAGAACUGCCUUGAUUCUUGAGGAGGGAAAACUCUCUGAGCUCUAUUUUUUUUUAACCCUUAGGGAUACUUCCUUAUAAACUUAGGCUUGAAGGGAUAUAGUUUGAAAACCACCAAGCUAAAGUAUACUAUUGAAAUUUCAUAUACUAUAUUAAGAAAAUGAGUAUAUAAAUGCUAUUUCCAGAUGAGAUUAAUGAAGAAAAACUUAAACAGUGUUUGGGAACAAUUUUAUUUUUUAUACUACAGGGGAUUCAGCCUAGUGGUGCUCUACCUAUGAGUUAUAUCUUCAGCCCUUUAAUUUUUAUUUUGAGACAGGGUCUUGUUAAAUUGCCUAGGCUGGGCUUGAACUUGAGAUCCUCCUGUCUUACCUUUCUGAGGUGUUGGGAUUAUAGGUGCAUGCCAUCACACUCUGCUGGGAACACAUUUGUUUGUGUGUGUGUGUGUGUGUGUGUGUGUGUGUGUGAACCAGAAUUUGUGAUAGAUUAACUAUAUUUGCUAAGGGAAUGAUAAUAUUCCCCUUGUUUAAAAUUUGGCUUUUCUGCAAAGUUUCAUGCUUACCUGGUAGAAUGUUAUUUCAGAAGACUUAUUUUUACCCUUCUACCUUUAUAUAUAUAUAAUAUUUUUUAUUUUUUUAAAUCAGGCAAUUAUUAUAGUUUACGUUCUCAGCAUGAGAAAGCGGCCUUAUAUUUCCAGAGAGCCCUAAAGUUGAAUCCUCGGUAUCUUGGGGCCUGGACACUGAUGGGGCAUGAGUACAUGGAAAUGAAAAAUACAUCUGCUGCUAUCCAGGCUUAUCGGUGAGCAUCUAGUUGGGGGUUGAGGAUUGCUGUGUUAGGAGCCUCAGUUGAGCCUGCAAGUUUCAAGCCUUGAUUAUGCUUUCUUAACAUUCUUUCAUUUUCAUUUCUUAGACAUGCCAUUGAGGUCAAUAAGCGGGACUACAGAGCUUGGUAUGGCCUUGGGCAGACCUAUGAAAUCCUUAAGAUGCCAUUUUACUGCCUAUAUUACUACAGACGGGCCCACCAGCUUCGGUAAGUCUGGUCACUUUACAAUGUAUCUGGUGUGGGAAGGGCUGUUUCAGUAGCUAUUCAUGAAUCACAGAGAAUGGUUUCGGCUUUUGGAGACUUGAAUUUAAGCUUGCUAAAGCUGUUUGGUCAUUUUUAUUUAAUGUCUUCCACUAAUGGGUUAAUAGUACAAUUAUGAACACAAAGUAACCUAAUUAUAUGAAGUAUUAGAAUAAAGGUCAAACCUUGUAUAGAUUUGAAAUAGUGGUGCUAGUUCCUCAAUGGAAGACUUCAGUUAUCAAUAAAGUCUUUGCACAAACUACCUAUUCCUCUUCUUUCUUAGGCCCAAUGAUUCUCGUAUGCUGGUUGCAUUAGGAGAAUGUUAUGAGAAACUCAAUCAACUAGUGGAAGCCAAAAAGGUACCUGAAAUUGAAGUCUGGAGAAUUUGAGUGGAAAUCUGCAGUUUAGAUACAGAUUGGGCUGUAUGUGCUCUAAUUUUCCUUUAUAUUGAUCUAUGUGUAAGGAAAAGUCUGAAUAUUUACAGGUGCAUAGGCUAAAAAAAAGGUGUGCUGAGAUCAUUAGUGGGAAUGCUGUUUAUAGCCUGAACCUAUUAGAAAUGGCAAAAAUGUCUUGUAUUUUGCAAAUCUGAACUCCUAGGAAGCUUGUAGGACCUUUCCCUUUAUGUGAUUAAUGAUGGCACAUGGGACGAUGGUCAAAGUGACUGGUUUAAUUUUUUUUGACAGUGUUAUUGGAGAGCUUAUGCUGUGGGAGAUGUGGAGAAAAUGGCUCUGGUGAAACUGGCAAAGUGAGUGAAAGGAGAGAAACACUAUUGAUACUUCUGUUGUCCUUUUUUUAAUAUUUAUUUUUUAAUUGUAGUUGGACAUAAUACCUUUAUUUUGUUUGUUUAUUUUUAUGUGGUGCUGAGAAUCGAACCCAGGGCCUUGCACAGCACUCUACCGCUAAGCCAUAAUCCCAGCCCCUCUCUCUAUUGGCUUUUCUAGGAUGGUGGGUCUUGCAUGUUUUAAAGCCUCCCGCCCUUCCAUUGUCAUACAUGAGUGUGGGAAUUUGAAUCUCGAAAAUGUCAUUUCUCUUUGAAGGGGAAAUAAUUUUCCCUGUUAGGCAAGGGAUCAAGAUGAAUUGAAAAAAGUAAAUGAAUGGGUGGGGUAUAGCUCAGUAGUAGAGUGCUUAAAUGACACAUAUGAUCCCUAGCACUGCAUUUAAAAAAGAGAGAGAGGGCUGGAGAUGUGGCUCAAGUGGUAGCUGGCUCGCCUAGCAUGCGUGAGGCACUGGGUUCAUUUCUUAGCACAUAAAAAUAAAAUAAAGAUAUCAUGUCCACCUAAAACUAAAAAAAUAAAUAUUUUUAAAAAAGAGAGAGGGCCGGGGUUGUAGCUUAGCGGUAGAGCACUUACUUACCUCACUUGUGAGGCACUGGUUCAAUCCUCAGCAUCACAUUAAAAAAUUAAUAUAAAGGUUUUUUUUUUUAAUUGUAAAGAAAAGAGAGAGAAAUGACAUUUUUGUGUUAGAGCAGUCUAGGAAAACUACGUUAAGGAUCGAUCUCCCUCAAAGAAAAAAUUAGUAAUAGCUCAAAAUAGUUGGAAAAGAGGUAUUUAAAUGCAAUUUAGUUUCUCCCAGUUUAUUUGUAGAUUCUUAAAUCUGAAUUGCUUGGUUUAUUUUUCAGUCUCAUUUUCAGUAUUACCAGGAAAUUUUUAUGAGGUUGUAUACCCAGUUUAAAUAUUUAUUCGUAACUCUCCCUCUGUUGGUAGUGGUAAAAUAAUGGUUUUUGCCAUAUUGAGUAUCAAACCCAGGGCAUCACACUUGCUAGGUAAGCAUUCUACCACUGAGCUAUGUACACACCUUUUUUUAUUUUAAGACAGUGUUAUCUAGGCUGGCCUUGAACUUGAGAUCCAUCUGUAUCAGCUUUCCAGGUAGCUGGGAUAAUAGGUGUCCCACUGCCCACCCCCAAUCCUCAGCCUUUUUUUUUUUUUUUUCCCCUUGUGCUAGGGAUCAAACUCAGGGCUUAAUGCAUGCUAGGCAAGUGUUCUACCACUGAGCUAUACUCCCAGCCCCUGAAUCUAAACUUUAUUAUAGUAACCAUAACAUCUUAUGGGUACUAAGACUUUUUCAGGGUCUUGUGUCAUUUAUGUCAAAAUUUGUACUUGUGUGUGUAUUGUCAUUUUUUAGAACUUAAUUAUUUUUUUGUCACUCAUUUGCUUUGAGGUCUGAUUUGUAUUUAAAGCCAAUUUUCUUUUGUAGGCUUCAUGAACAGUUGACUGAGUCCGAACAGGCUGCCCAGUGUUAUAUCAAAUAUAUCCAAGAUAUCUAUUCCUGUGGGGUAUGUGUCAUAACAUGAGAGUUGUGUUGCCAAUCUUAUUCUUACCAUCUCAGACAUUUCUGCUUUCCUUGUCUAGGAAAUAGUGGAACAUUUGGAGGAAAGCACUGCUUUCCGCUAUUUGGCCCAGUACUAUUUUAAGUGCAAGCUGUGGGAUGAAGCUUCAACUUGUGCCCAAAAGUGUUGUGCAUUCAAUGAUGUAUGUAUCAGUUCUUUCGUAAAGGGUUUGGAUUUGAGGCUAGAAUGUAUGAUCAUUACCAUGAUGUAUAGGUGGAAAGUGGGUAUGAAUAUCAGUGGAAAGCCUUUGAUCUGUGGAACUUGUAUAUCAUCGUUGUCUUAAUAACCUGUUUUUGAGAAUAGCCUUGAAUAUAUUUUGAAACAGUUGCCUGACUUUCUUUCAGACCCGGGAAGAAGGUAAAGCCUUGCUCCGGCAAAUCUUGCAGCUGCGGAACCAAGGGGAAACUCCCACGGGCGAGAUGCCUGCUCCCUUUUUUCUCCCUGCUUCAUUGUCUGCUAAUAACACCCCCACACGCAGAGUUUCUCCACUCAACUUGUCUUCUGUCACACCAUAGUUGGCUACUUUCAAGUUAGCACUUUGCUAGACCCAUAUUAAGCCUUACCUUCAUGUAAAGAAUGGCCAUGUCUGUCCUUCCAAGGACUGCAGCUCUUUUUGUUUCUACAGAUGGAAAUAGCUUCUUGGGGACAGUUUAUAUAAUUACCUUCAGAGGCAGAUAGAAGAAUACUGGCAGAAACAGAUUCUGUCUUUUGCCAGUUAGAAGCACUUCUAUCUCCCUUCUAUUCAGAGUGGCUGUCAAUCUUGGCCUUCUUCUCAGUGCCCUUUCUCUCCACCCCCAUUAAAACAUACCUUUUACAGCACUUUAGCACAGGCAAUGCUACAGGAAAAAGGUUUUAAUGCUGCUGGGAGUGGGACAGGCAAGAGAGGGAGAAGUCUGCCACUCUACCCUUUUCUGGCAGUAAGGGCACUAACUACCCUAGGAAGGAGUCAGGGCACUAGACAGAAAUGACUCCUUGAAUUUGCUGAGUUAUGAUCCCUAUUCUGAUAUUAAGAGAUUAGGUUUAAACAAAGUGGAGCUAUACAUUUGUUCUUAACCUAGGAGACAUUCUUCAAGACAGUUUUGAAAAGGAAUCUGGAAGUAACUUACUAGGAUUGAAGGGCAAAAAAACUCCACCUGAACUAUUGAUGACCCUUCCUAAGGGCAGAGAUGGCUAUAGCACUAGCUAUACCUCUACCAAAGCAAAGCUAGAAUUACAGAUAAUUCAUGGACUUUUGAAAAUAACAUUUUUGACUAUAUUGAGAAUAAACUUAAUUCAUGCUGGUUUUAAUAAAUUUUUGAUAUAAUUGUUUUUUUCCUUCCUAUCUCCAAAAGAAUACAUUUUGUCAGCCUUAUUUGUCUAGACUAGGUAAAGGGAAUCAUUUUUGUGGUGCUCUUGGAGGAUUUCAGAUCUGUGCACAUGUUCACUAGCAGGUAAUAUGCUUUGACUGUGAUGUCAGCUAUAAUGAACUUGUAGAUGCUAUGAACCAUUCUGGGCUCAGGAUCUAGUUUUCCUUCUCUUAUUCCCAGAACAUUUUUAUUACCUCUUCACCUCCUAAUGUAUGAUACUUCAUUUUAUAUUUAAACAUGUAGACUAUCUAAUAUCACUUGAAUUCAUUAUUACUAAACCUUAGACUUGGGAUAUGCUAGUUCCUGGUCUUCAUUGCCAUUUCUAUGCAAAGUUCUUAGGGGCCAGAAUGACAUUGAGUACCAGGUUUUCUACCCUUUUAAUAAUUUGUUUUAAUGAUUUUGCUAAAUUUGAUAUUUGAAUAAAAAAUGUGAACAAUAAUCUUUAUUUAAUAUAACUUUUUUGUGUGCAUAGAAACCAUAUGAGUGAAAAAACAUGAGAUUACAAAAGUGAUUAUAAUACAAAAGGUGUGGGGAAC